UCGUGUCGGGUCUCUCGGAGGAGCAGCUGCGGCUCCCCCCGGGGUCUGUGCUGGGGGGGCCCGUCAUUGACCCCCCCGUGCCCAGCCGGGGGGGGCUUUCUCCAGCUGGAACCAGCCCCGGGCUCUGCCCGCCCCCGCCCCGGCUGCAGAACGACGCUCACGUUUCGUUCCGGUUCAUCCCGUCCUCCCAUGGGUCAGGGGAGCGACAUGGCCGCAGAGGAGCCAGCUGAGGGGCCGGUGACCUUCGAGGAGGUGGGUGUGUAUUUCACCAGGGAAGAGGGGGCUCUGCUGGACCCCGCUCAGAGAGCCCUCUACAGAGACGUCAUGCAGGAGACCUAUGAGAAUGUGACCUCGCUGGGUAAGGGUUCCCGUCCCCUCGGUUCUUGGAGGGGGAAAUGAAGAGAUGAGGUUCACGCCACCCCCACAAUGGCACCUCUGCUCUGUCCUGUUCCAGCAUCACCCCAGCAUGCCAGUGACCCACACACGACCAGAGACCUCCCCUGCUGCAGAACACUGUGGAGACAGAGCCCAGGGGCAGUACCGCACAGUGUCCAAUAUCUCCUGUUUGCACAAGUAAAACGGGGGGUUAGCUCCAGC